AACACGUUGGGCAAUCUGCCCUGCACUCUGGGACAAGCCCUGGAAACGGGGUCUAAUACCGGAUAAUACCUUCCCUCGCAUGGGGGUGGGUUCAAAGCUCCGGCGGUGCAGGAUGAGCCCGCGGCCUAUCAGCUUGUUGGUGAGGUAGUGGCUCACCAAGGCGACGACGGGUAGCCGGCCUGAGAGGGCGACCGGCCACACUGGGACUGAGACACGGCCCAGACUCCUACGGGAGGCAGCAGUGGGGAAUAUUGCACAAUGGGCGAAAGCCUGAUGCAGCGACCCCGCGUGAGGGAUGACGGCCUUCGGGUUGUAAACCUCUUUCAGCAGGGAAGAAGCGCAAGUGACGGUACCUGCAGAAGAAGCCCCGGCUAACUACGUGCCAGCAGCCGCGGUAAUACGUAGGGCGCAAGCGUUGUCCGGAAUUAUUGGGCGUAAAGAGCUCGUAGGCGGUCUGUCGCGUCGGAUGUGAAAGCCCGGGGCUUAACCCCGGGUCUGCAUUCGAUACGGGCAGACUAGAGUGUGGUAGGGGAGAUCGGAAUUCCUGGUGUAGCGGUGAAAUGCGCAGAUAUCAGGAGGAACACCGGUGGCGAAGGCGGAUCUCUGGGCCAUUACUGACGCUGAGGAGCGAAAGCGUGGGGAGCGAACAGGAUUAGAUAGCCCUGGUAGUCCACGCCGUAAACCGGUGGGAACCU
rnacentral:rRNA from 1 species